AGAUAGCCAUGCAUGUCUAAGUAUAAGCUUUUAUACGGUGAAACUGCGAAUGGCUCAUUAAAACAGUUAUCGUCUCCUUGACAGUCAUCCAGUUUUGGAUACCUAUGGUAAUUCUAGAGCUAAUACAUAUGUACAGACCCGACUUCACGGAAGGGUUGUGCUUAUUAGAUACUGAACCAACCCGUGCUUGCACGGUCUUGAGUUGACUCAUAGUAACCAGCGAAUCGCAUGCUUCGGCGGCGAUGUGUCAUCCGAGUUUCUGACCUAUCAGCUUCCGACGGUAGGGUAUUGGCCUACCGUUGCUUUGACGGGUAACGGAGAAUUAGGGUUCGAUUCCGGAGAGGGAGCCUGCGAAACGGCUACCACAUCUAAGGAAGGCAGCAGGCGCGCAAAUUACCCAAUCCUGACACAGGGAGGUAGUGACAAGAAAUACCAAUAUUAGGCAUCUACGUCUAGUAAUUGGAAUGAGUGAGAUUUACAACGCUUCACGAGUAUCAAUUGGAGGGCAAGUCUGGUGCCAGCAGCCGCGGUAAUUCCAGCUCCAAUAGCGUAUAUUAAAGUUGUUGCGGUUAAAAAGCUCGUAGUUGGAUUUCUGUCGGUGAGCGGCAGUCCGGCCUCUGUGUUUGGUACUUGUCGCGCCACCGGCAUCUUCCUGGGGACUGUGUCUGCUCUUCACUGAGUGGCGCAUAAUCCAGGACUUUUACUUUGAAGAAAUAGGAGUGUUUCAAGCAGGCAUGCGCCGUGAACACGUUAGCAUGGAAUAAUAGCAUCGGACCUCGCUCCAAAGCUGUUGGUUUCUUGGGACGAGGUAAAGGUGAAUAGGGAUUGUUGGGGGCAUUCGUAUUUAACUGUCAGAGGUGAAAUUCUUGGAUUUGUUGAAGACGGACUACUGCGAAAGCAUCUGCCAAAGAUGUUCUCAUUGAUCAAGAACGAAAGUUAGGUGAUCGAAGACGAUCAGAUACCGUCCUAGUCUUAACCAUAAACUAUGCCGACUGGAGAUCGGGGGUCGUUAACUUUGUGACGCCCUCUGCAUCUGAGAGAAAUCAAAGUCUUUGGGUUCCGGGGGGAGUAUGGUCG
rnacentral:rRNA from 1 species